GUCAGUAUAUUUUUGUUUCCAUUUGAAUAUUUUGAGAUGAUUUUGUUUUUUAAAGCUAUGUGUCUAUGUACCAAUGGAGUACAGUACCAAUUGUCCACAUUAGUCCAAACUAGUAAAUUGUGCAUUAAUUGGGAAAUAUUUUCUGUCUGCCUACCGAGUAUAAUAUUUUCUUCAUAAAGUCAUAGCAUGUUACUUCUUAAUGGCUUUGAUUUUCAAGUUUUGAAUUUGAUAGAACAAGUUGUGACCACAUUUUUUAUGUUGAGCUGGUUGUGUGGCAUAGUUGGUAACGAGAAUAAACUCACUUUAGAAACUUAUGAUGUCUUAGUAGCUCUUCUAAAACUUGUCCACACAUGAACAUUAAAUCAUAUAUUAACAUCUCUACUAUUAAUAUUAAUUCUAAGAGGAUUGGCAUCCAUAUUUAUCACUUCAAUUAAAACAGUUCUACAGGCUUUUUACUUUUAGUUAAGGCUGCCCCCCUUCACCACGACCAGUAGCAAUGUGCAUCUGUUUUCUGCUAACGUGGUUUACCUUUCAUAGUAUGCUGCUUAUAUGGAAUUAUCUAGUAUUCAGCUUUUGGAAUCUGCUUCUGUUACUUACUAUAAUGCAUUUGUGUGGUAUUCAUGUUUCUGUGUGUAUCAGUAUUUGCUUUUCAGUUGUAUAGUAGACUCCCAGUAUGUGGGAUUACCACAGUCAGUUUAUGGACAUUUGGAUUGUUUCAAGUUUGGGGUGAUAAUAAAGCUUCUAUAGUUUUGCAUUAAAAAAAAUAACAUGGCUUCAUAUUCUUUAUUAAAAUAACUUUUUGUUGUUAAAAGAGAUUGUAUUGAUUUAAUUAAUCGUCACUGUUUUGGGGACUAGGGUUGCGUUUCUUUUAAAAACUGUUCCAUGCUCUCUCCAGUUCUAGGUAUUGGAGCAUUCAAGAAAGGUCUUGGCCUAGCCCUUUUUUUUGUUUGUUUUUGAGACAGGGAUUUGCUGUACAAUCAGACUGUCCUGAACUCAUGGGUUUCCUGCCUCCACCUUCUGAUUGCUAGGAUCAGAAGCAUGUGUACCACCAUGUCUGCCACUACAGGCUUUCAGUGUUAUUAAAAAGAAAUCAGAAAAAAAAUUAAUAAUAGAGUAGAGGGAGAGUCCUUUAACUUACUGUCAUGUGUAUGUUUAUUAAGAGAAGACAUGUCCAGUUGUUAAAAGUAGAUGGUAGCAGAACUUGCAGUGUUUCUUGAGUGCAGUAUUAGAUCAGGCAUGUGUAGGAAGAACAAGCCUAAAGUUUCCAGUUUAUAAAAGUCAAAUAAAUUAUAAGUAUUUUUCCUGAUCUUAAAAUUUUAGUUAAAGAGGACAGAAAUUUAGUAUGGAAAGGUUAAAUAGAAUUUUUCUGAAUGAACAUUUGAAAUGAAAGGGAAUGAAACAGUCCUAUUUAUGGAAAUUAAUGGUCUCAAAAAUAGCUUGAAAAGCUACUUGGAUAUUUGUAAGAAAGUUGUUCUUUAUUUGCUGUAGAUAUAAAAAGAUCUUGAGAAAAUGUAAUGCUCUGUGUCAGAGAAUGCUCAUGUUGCUUGGUAGAGAUUCCUGCUGUUACUCUGGGCACGGUAAGUGCUGCUGAACCUUUACACUGUUGUCAUUCCUAAAUAUUUUUAGAUGAUGUACACACAUGCUAUUACUUAUAUUGUGUUAUCAUAGAAUGUUUCUUCUUUCCUUUGAGAGAGUUUGUGUAUGCAUGUGUAUAUUUAUGCCAUUUGUGGCAUAGUAGGAGUGUAGAGGUCAAAGGCCACCUUGAGGUGCUCUUGUUUUACUGUGUAGGUCCUGGGGCUUUAACUCAGGUUAUCAGGUUUGGCAGCAAGCCCCUUUGCCCACUCAGCCAUCUUGUUUUAAAUAGGUAAAGUGUCUUAGUGCAGUCAGAGCACUUUAGACAUUCUUUUUUUGUUUGUUUGUUUGUUUGUUUGUUUUUUGAGACAGGGUUUCUCUGUAUAGCCCUGGCUGUCCUAGAACUCACUUUGUAGACCAGGCUGGCCUCGAACUCAGAAAUCCACCUGCCUCUGUCUCCCAAGUGCUGGGAUUAAAGGCGUGUGCCACCACUGCCCGGCCACUUUAGACAUUCUUUUGACAUAGAAUACAGGUUCAUUAUCCCUCACAUUAGAAUCUGAGAUUCAGUAUACCAAGAUCUGAAACCAGCAUGACAACAUGAGUGAAAAAUUCCACAACUUACUUCAUGCGACAGGUCAAACAAAAACAGAUGUAUUAAAAAUACUAACAUGGCAUAGGAUCAGAGUGAGGAGGACAUAACAUCUGUUCCAAAACCAUCGGGAGUAACUGGGACCAGUGGUAUCCAGGGAUGCAGGAACCACGCCUGACCAGUGGUUCGGGUUCCUUUUGGUCUGCGCUGGUUUACUUUGGGCACAAACUCUGCAGCCAGUCCCACAAAACCAUGAGAAAAGCUUCACUCCCAGGCACUCUAACACGCCCAGGAUCCCGGGAUCCCAGGAGCUUGGUCACACAAGGAUCUCAGAGUCCCAGAGGCAGCUUGACUCCCAGGAACUCUGACACACUCAGGAUCUCAGGAUCACAGGAUCCUGGAAUCACAGGAUCCUGGAAUCACAGAGACAGCUGGACUCUGAGGAGUUUCAAUACAACCAGGAUAACAGGAAGGACAGGCUCCAGUCAGAUAUAGCAAGGGCAGGUAGCACUAGAGAUAAUCAGAUGGUAGAAGGCAAGCAUAAGAGCACAAGCAACAGAAACUAAGGUUACUUGGCAUUAUCAGAACCAAAUUCUCCCACCGUAGCAAGUCCAGGAUAUACCAUCAUACCAGAAAAGCAAGACUCGAAUCUAAAAUCACUUCUCAUGAUGAUGAUAGAGGACUUUAAGAAGGAUAUAAAUAACUCCUUAAAGAAAUACAGGAGAACACAGGUAAACAGGCAGAAGCCCUUAAAGAGGAAACACAAACACACAAAUCCCUUAAAGAAUGACAGGAAAACACAAUCAAAUAGGCAAAGGAAAUGAACAAAACCAUCCAAGAUC
rnacentral:lncRNA from 1 species